AGAGUUUGAUCCUGGCUCAGAACGAACGCUGGCGGCGUGCUUAACACAUGCAAGUCGAGUGCGCGCCUGUAGCAAUACAGGUGGCGCACGGCGCACGGGUGCGUAACACGUGGGUAAUCUGCCCUCUGAUGGGGAAUAACUCGCCGAAAGGCGAGCUAAUUCCGCAUAAUAUUCCGAGAACUUUGGUUUUUGGACUGAAAGGCGUAAGUCGUCGGAGGAGGAGCCCGCGCACGAUUAGCUAGUUGGUAGGGUAAUGGCCUACCAAGGCUUUGAUCGUUAGCUGGUCUGAGAGGAUGGCCAGCCACACUGGAACUGAGACACGGUCCAGACUCCUACGGGAGGCAGCAGUGGGGAAUCUUGCACAAUGGGCGAAAGCCUGAUGCAGCGACGCCGCGUGGGGGAUGAAGCUUCUCGGAGUGUAAACCCCUUUCGAUCCGGACGAAACCCCGCAAGGGAUUGACGGUACGGAUAUAAGAAGCCCCGGCUAACUACGUGCCAGCAGCCGCGGUAAUACGUAGGGGGCCAGCGUUGUUCGGAAUUACUGGGUGUAAAGGGUUCGUAGGCGGUGCGGCAAGUUGGGAGUGAAAUCUCUGGGCUUAACCCAGAGACGGCUUCCAAAACUGCUGUGCUUGAGUGUGGGAGAGGCUCGUGGAAUUGCAGGUGUAGCGGUGAAAUGCGUAGAUAUCUGCAGGAACACCCGUGGCGAAAGCGGCGAGCUGGACCACUACUGACGCUGAAGAACGAAAGCUAGGGGAGCAAACAGGAUUAGAUACCCCCGUAGUCC
rnacentral:rRNA from 1 species